GGGUUGUGAGGUUAAGCGACUAAGCGUACACGGUGGAUGCCCUGGCAGUCAGAGGCGAUGAAGGGCGUGCUAAUCUGCGAUAAGCGCCGGUAAGGUGAUAUGAACCGUUAUAACCGGCGAUACCCGAAUGGGGAAACCCAGUGUGAUUCGUCACACUAUCAUUAACUGAAUCCAUAGGUUAAUGAGGCGAACCGGGGGAACUGAAACAUCUAAGUACCCCGAGGAAAAGAAAUCAACCGAGAUUCCCCCAGUAGCGGCGAGCGAACGGGGAGGAGCCCAGAGCCUGAAUCAGCAUGUGUGUUAGUGGAAGCGUCUGGAAAGGCGCGCGAUACAGGGUGACAGCCCCGUACACAAAAGCGCAUGUGCUGUGAGCUCGAUGAGUAGGGCGGGACACGUGGUAUCCUGUCUGAAUAUGGGGGGACCAUCCUCCAAGGCUAAAUACUCCUGACUGACCGAUAGUGAACCAGUACCGUGAGGGAAAGGCGAAAAGAACCCCGGCGAGGGGAGUGAAAAAGAACCUGAAACCGUGUACGUACAAGCAGUGGGAGCCCCACCACUAAGCCAGUGGUGAACUCCACAUACGCAUCCUUUGCUGAGGAUACGGUUAACGGAGCGAAAGCGACGUUCAACCUCAAAAGAAGCAGAGGGGGCUUAGUGGUGGGGUGACUGCGUACCUUUUGUAUAAUGGGUCAGCGACUUAUAUUCUGUAGCAAGGUUAACCGUAUAGGGGAGCCGGAGGGAAACCGAGUCUUAAUUGGGCGUUAAGUUG
rnacentral:rRNA from 1 species